rnacentral:lncRNA from 1 species
GCUGAAACUUUGAUCUUGAACUUCCCAGCCUCAAGACCUGUACUUCUGUCCUCUGUGGUGGAGAAUAAAGGGAAGCCAGGAAGUGUGGGUCAGGAUCUCUGGGAAACUGCUGGCUUCUAGCAAGGCUGGCACGGGUGUGUUCCCAUGGAAGGAAAGAACCAAAGGUGCUGGUGAGUAGCUCACCACAGGGGUCAGCCCUGCAGCCCUCUCUGUGAGAUUGUCCUCAGCCUGUGCCUUGGGAAGUAGAAUUUCCUAUAUGUUCUCCACUUAGCAUGUUAUCAACAAUAUACCCCAUCAGGCACUCCAUAAAUAAAUGAAUGGAAAUCCUCCAAAUCAGGAUAAAGCUCAAAUACUGUCUCUUCUGUGAAGACUACUUGGAUCCCCCAAUCAAGAACAAUCCUUUACACUUCCCUUCUCUGGCUGCCUGACAUGAGACAUAUUUCCUGGUGUUGACUAAAUCCAGGGCUCACCCUAAGAUUUUUACCAGAGAGUAAGAAUGUGGGAAUAAUUGUAUAUCCCAUGGGUGGCCACAUGUAUAUAUUUAUCCCAUCCCACAUGCUCUUCUUGCAGUCUGACAGACACUCCCCCACCAGGAGCUGGGAGUGACGGGAGUGAUGUUCUCUACUCUUUAAUUGGGGUAUAGUCUUGUGCAUCUCUUGACUGCCGCAACAGGGUAUGGUGGAAGGAAUCCCAUGUGGCUUCUGAGGCUAAGAGGCUAGAUCACAAAAAGGAGAGGUUUUUUUUUGUUUUGUUUUGUUUUGUUUUGUUUUCUCUCUAUCUCUGUCUCCCAUGAAGCUUACCCUUGGAACUCAGCUGCUAUUUUGUAAGGAAGUCCAUGCCUCUGCUAGAUCUGCAGCCAAUAGCCAGCCUCACCACCAGAUGUGUAAAUGAGCCUCAGAUGAUGCCAGCCUCACCCUUCGAGUCUUCCAGUUGAGGCCCCAUUGUGCAGAAGACAUAAGGCAUUCCCACAUGCCCUGUCUGAACUUCUGACCCACAAACACUAUCAGAGAUAAUAAAUGAUCAUUGUUUUAAGUUACUAAGUUUUAAGUUACUUAAUUAUGCAGCAAUAAAUAGAUAAUCAAUACAAAGGCGCAUACUGUUCCAUGUAUAAAUGUCUACCGUAUCUUUCAUGCCUUCUUCCAACCCUAACUUGUAACACUUUUGUAGCAAUUAGUGCCCAAUUUGCACAUGAAAUACAAAUCAUAUUUCUGUAAAUGGUCAUGAGGGUUAAAUAAAGAUCAUACAUGAAAGAGCCAGGCAGGGUGUUCAGUAAUAUGAAGUACUCAGUAAAUGUUAACUACACACGAAUUUGCUGAAACAUGUUUCUUAUGUUUAAAUAAUGAAUUUGCUUUUCCUUGUAUAUCUUGCCUGUAUGACACAAAAGGACACAGUCUGAUCACAUCAGUUCAGCAAAGGCAAGCCUCAUCAGUUGGUAAAAAAAAUUGGUUUAAUGAAUUGCAAUCACACAAACAAAACUACAACUUACUUGAUUAAGUUUUCCACCUCUCAUCUGGUUUCUCUACCUUAUAUUUGUAUUCUGAUUCUGUCCUUUUAUUGGUUUUCCUUUCCUUUUAAGUCCUUGGAUGAAUUUUUAAAUAUCUAUUGCAUUUUUUUAUGUGGCCAAAGUCUCUUGAAUAAGGUCUUAUUGAAAUUUCUUCAAUGGCUGGAUAAAAUUGCAUCCCAACUCAAUUUUUGCAUCCUGGCACAGGAAGUGGUCUCAAGUAUUGCAGAACUGGAUGGAGACUCGUAGGCCCUCUGGGCAGGCUAAUACUUUGCUUUCCCAUCACAUGGAUAUUCAUAAAAUAUUUGUUAGAUGUUAUGUAGGAGUGAGGCUAGAGAAGGCUAGCAGGACCAGGGCUUACUCACAUUCUGGCUCUGUAAGACAGUGAUCUGGCUGUGAUGGCCACAGUUGAUUGGCUGUCUUCUCAGCCCUCCGCAAAUGCACUCAUCGGGAGCAGGUUAACCUUCUCAAGUAGAGGAUGUUCCUGUGUUCUGUCAAGGAUAUACAGGACACAGUCUGUGCCGAUGCUUUUUUCGUGCAUGAAACAUAUCAUCUUAAGAAGAUUUGCAAGUCCGUUUGUGUGUAGUACAGCAGCAAGGAUCGUAGACCUGGUGUCAGCAAGCCUGGACACACAGUUUCUCUGAGCCUUUCAAAUGAAGGUCUUGGAUAAAAUCACUUUUAAAGCUCUUGCCUGCUAUAUUAUUUCAUCUCUUUCUUAUAUGAGCUGCAUGAUAAAUGAGUAUAGAAAAAAGAAUACACAUGCUUUACAAGAGAAAUUCAAAAGAAUUAACCUAUAUAUCCUUUUAGGUUAAUUAAAAUAGAAUUCUGACUUACGAGGUUUCCAUCUAAUUCAGAGCUAAUACUUUAAAGUUUUUACAAAAUCUUCGUAAAACAAAACCAGUGAGUAAUAUAUUACCAACUAUAGGAUUCAUGAAAAAAUGGGAGUCAAAUGAAGCACUGCCACAUUGAUCAAAUCAUUGUACAAUUUUUAGAAAUAACAGCAUGUGAACCUUGAUGUCACUGCUGCAAAUGCAUUUCUAUAUUUUGUGUAUAGUUUUGAAAAAUUUGUAGCCUGAUGCUACAAAUAUGUAAUAUAAUUUCCUUCAGAAAAUAAUAUUUAUAAUUAUCAGUACCCAAUGAUUGCAUGCAAGAGAAGUUUACUUGUUGGCUGAAUUACAUUUAUUGAGAAGUAAGAAAAUAAAAGAUCCUGGAACGAUCACUACAGUAACGAAACGGCUGAGUUGCCCACAGUUAAACUGCUGGGACUACCAGUUGGAAAUCAGACAAUGAAGAAGGAGAAGACAUGAGUUCUAAUAAGGUGAAAAUUGUUCUUCAGGGAAAAUGGAAUAUUAAACAUAGUUUGGUUUUGCAAACACUCUAGGUUAUGUAAAAUGUAAAGAUGAAGCUAGAAAUUCAAGUCUGGAAAGAACUAUAGAUACCUAGAUACACUGAGCUUUGACUACAGUGGCCUAUUUAUACAUAGCUACUGGUUACUUCCACUGAAUUGUAUUUACGAUUUAAAAUUUAUGAGAUUUUAAUGAAUUAAAUAAAAGUCUGUGGCUGUAGAAAAGCUAUUUCUCUUGUCCUGAAAAUGCUCUGAUUGCUUUAAUUUUCUCACAACUCCCUUUUUUUCUUUUCACUCUUCUCUCUCUCUGCCCCAUUCUUUCUCUCAAGGUUGGGGUGUUCUUUCUUGUGUAAGCUGCUGCAUAGAGGUGAGAUAUAGGAUAUAUAGAGAGUGCUGAUUAAUUUAUAAAAUCUUGAAGUUCCUUUCCAUUGUUAAUUUAUUUUAAAAGUUAUUUCAUCAUAUUAAUGAAAAUUAAAUAAUAUUCUGCAAAAUAACUGGCUUGUAUUUGUCAAAAAUUCAAGUUCAAGAAAGGCAACGAAAAACUGAGGAGCCAUUUGAAAUUGCAGAAGACACAAGAGUUGACAACGAAAUGUAGUCCACCUGAUUUGAGAUUUCAUCCUGUACUGGAAUAUUUAGAAGAAGGAGCACAAGAAAGAGGACACCCUUAACAGAAAAGUUAUUCAUUUCCAAUUUAAGACUCAUCAAGGGAUAAAAUCUGAAAACUUAUAAAGGAUACUUAUUACAGAAAAAAUUUAAGGGGAAACUGGUGCUGUGGAGAGACCCAUGUGGAAAGGAACUGAGGACUCCCGGCAAAAGUCACCAAGGACCGAGGUUGCUGACAGCUGCAUGUGAACUCGGAAGCAGAUCAAUCCUUGCCCAAGCCCACACUUUGUCUACAGCCUUGGUGAGAGACCCUGAGCCAGGGAUGCACAUCCAAGCUGCACCCAAACUCUUGACCCACAGAAACUGUGAGAUGAUGAAUGUGUUUAAGCCCCCAUAUUGUGGAGUCAUUUAUUACACAGCAAUAGAUGGCUAAGAUGAGCACUAUUUUUAUCCCCUUGUGAGUUCAUGGCUUGGUCUCCCUACCUCCCACUGACUAAAUGUGGCUAAAGCAAAAUCCAAUAACCAGCUGUCUCUGAACAAUAUUAACUGAAUGCCUACUGUUUACUAGCAUGACAGGAAUUCAAAAGAGUUUAUGAGGGAAAUGGCCACAGUGAGGCAGAGGAUUUACAUGCUGGGAAGGCUUCAUCCUGGCAAAUUACCCAGGGCAGACCUUCCCUCCUUCACUGUCUAAAAUAUCCAACUCUUAUAGUUUCAAAUCCCCAUCUCUUAUUGUCUGUCUUAUAGAAACCACCCUGACUCCUCAAAUACAGUCACUCCAUUCCCUAUGA